UCCUCCCUCCUCACAGUGAUUCAAAUGCUGCUAACAGUCUGUGAACCAGGAGGAAGAGGAAGUGAGAGAAGUGAACAUCCAGCUCAAAGAGGAGACAGAGGGCGACAUCAUCCAGUAGGCGGUGCUCUCCUUCUGCACUGUGUUCAACCAUUGUGUCAAUAAUAAGUGCUGCUGUGAAGAGAACAAUUCUCAGACUGAAUGUUGAACAUCAGCUAGUUUCUCCUGUUGAUUGAAACCUUGUUGUACAGAUGGAACAUUGGCUGUGGAUUAUUCUUGCUGCUCUUUUCUUUGAGUGUAAAGGAGAAGACAAAGUGAUCCAGGAACAAGGAGAUGUCAUUGCUGCUGAAGGAGACACAGUUACACUUGGAUGUAGAUAUGAGACCAGUUAUGCAGCUACACUCAUCUGGUACAAGCAAGAAGCAAAUAGUUACCCAAAGUAUAUGCUGCACUGUGUCUCAGAAACAACAGUUAAAGCUGAAGAGUUCAAAAACGACAGAUUUGAUGCAAAAAUCAACGAGAAGCAACAGUCAGUUCCUCUGAAGAUCCAGAAGCUUCAGCUGUCUGACUCUGCUGUGUACUACUGUGCUCUGCAGCCCACAGUGACAGGAAACACCAAAACUCUGUACAAAAACCUUUGGAGCAAAGACAACAGAAUACUCCACAACAUCCACUAGAGGGAGCCACACACUGUUAAACCUCUGAUUCUUGUGUCAUUGGACUGAUGACAAAGACAACAGAGAAAUGAAGCAGUAAAGAUCAGAGACAGAGACAGAGCUGCUGUGGAAGCACAAAACUAUUUGAUUGGCUGAGCUAUUAAACUGGCCCCGCCCACUGAAGUUGAGCUCA